rnacentral:tRNA from 1 species
GGGGCUGUAGCUCAGUUGGGAGAGCGCCUCCCUUGCACGGAGGAAGUCAGGAGUUCGAGUCUCCUCAGCUCCACC